rnacentral:misc_RNA from 1 species
UUAAGUUCAGCGGGUAGUCCUACCUGAUUUGAGAUCAAACGUUCAAAAAGCUGUCCUCGCUUAGGAGAGACAUUUGUGAGCUCCAGCGAACCCCCAUCACUGGAGGUUGCCCGGCGGAAAACCACAAGCGUAGAUAGUUAUCACACCCGUGACGCCGCCAGACACUGGCAAGCUGAUCCUUUUGAGAGGAGCCGACGGUA